rnacentral:rRNA from 1 species
UACAGAGGGGGCAAGCGUUGUUCGGAAUUACUGGACGUAAAGGGCGCGUAGGCGGCCCGCUAAGUCGAACGUGAAAUCCCCGGGCUCAACCCGGGAACUGCGUCCGAUACUGGUGGGCUUGAAUCCGGGAGAGGGAUGCGGAAUUCCAGGUGUAGCGGUGAAAUGCGUAGAUAUCUGGAGGAACACCGGUGGCGAAGGCGGCAUCCUGGACCGGCAUUGACGCUGAGGCGCGAAAGCCAGGGGAGCAAACGGG